UCAUAAAAGGUGGCUUCUAGCUACCACUUACAGAUGGACUCGCGGCGCAUUAGCUAGUUGGUGAGGUAACGGUCACCAAGGCGACGAUGCGUAGCCGACCUGAGAGGGUGAUCGGCCACACUGGGACUGAGACACGGCCCAGACUCCUACGGGAGGCAGCAGUAGGGAAUCUUCCGCAAUGGACGAAAGUCUGACGGAGCAACGCCGCGUGAGUGAUGAAGGUUUUCGGAUCGUAAAACUCUGUUGUUAGGGAAGAACAAGUACCGUUCGAAUAGGGCGGUACCUUGACGGUACCUAACCAGAAAGCCACGGCUAACUACGUGCCAGCAGCCGCGGUAAUACGUAGGUGGCAAGCGUUGUCCGGAAUUAUUGGGCGUAAAGCGCGCGCAGGCGGUUUCUUAAGUCUGAUGUGAAAGCCCCCGGCUCAACCGGGGAGGGUCAUUGGAAACUGGGGAACUUGAGUGCAGAAGAGGAGAGUGGAAUUCCACGUGUAGCGGUGAAAUGCGUAGAGAUGUGGAGGAACACCAGUGGCGAAGGCGACUCUCUGGUCUGUAACUGACGCUGAGGCGCGAAAGCGUGGGGAGCGAACAGGAUUAGAUACCCUGGUAGUCCACGCCGUAAACGAUGAGUGCUAAGUCGUUAGAGGGUUUCCGCCCUUUAGCUGCUCGCAGCAAACGCAAUUAACAA
rnacentral:rRNA from 1 species